rnacentral:rRNA from 1 species
GGGGGGGGCAAGCGUUGUUCGGAAUUACUGGGCGUAAAGGGUGCGUAGGCGGCUCUCUAAGUUGGAUGUGAAAACUCUGGGCUCAACCCAGAGCCUGCAUCCAAAACUGGAGGGCUAGGGUUCUGGAGGGGAAAGCGGAAUUCCUGGUGUAGCGGUGAAAUGCGUAGAUAUCAGGAGGAACACCGGUGGCGAAGGCGGCUUUCUGGACAGAUACCGACGCUGAGGCACGAAAGCUAGGGGAGCAAACAGGAUUAGAUACCCUGGUAGUCCUAGCCCUAAACUAUGGAUACUUGCUGUGAGGGGGAUUGAAUCCCUUUGUGGCGAAGCUAACGCAUUAAGUAUCCCGCCUGGGGAGUACGGUCGCAAGGCUGAA